CGUUCUCCAAUCCGUUGUGAUCUAAUUUUCUAAUUACACACAGUUGUUACAGUAUAAUCAAGUUUUCAAUAUCUAUCAGUUUAAACUCGUAGAAAUAUGAAUUAAGUUUAGCCAGUUUAUAGAAAAAUGUUUAAAAAUAUUAAAACACAAAAACUAAAAACGAGCGCAUAAUAAUGGCAACUAACACUUGUUAGAAUAUGUAGACCACUCAUCAAUUUUUGAAAUUUUGUCUGUAUGCAAACUAGUAUUGUUAUUGUAUUUUUGUGAAAUAAAUGAAUGUAUUAGAUCUCA
rnacentral:lncRNA from 1 species